UGGGGAAUAUUGGACAAUGGGGGGCAACCCUGAUCCAGCAAUGCCGCGUGUGUGAAGAAGGUCUUCGGAUUGUAAAGCACUUUCGACGGGGACGAUGAUGACGGUACCCGUAGAAGAAGCCCCGGCUAACUUCGUGCCAGCAGCCGCGGUAAUACGAAGGGGGCUAGCGUUGCUCGGAAUGACUGGGCGUAAAGGGCGUGUAGGCGGUUUACACAGUCAGAUGUGAAAUCCCCGGGCUUAACCUGGGAGCUGCAUUUGAUACGUGUAGACUAGAGUGUGAGAGAGGGUUGUGGAAUUCCCAGUGUAGAGGUGAAAUUCGUAGAUAUUGGGAAGAACACCGGUGGCGAAGGCGGCAACCUGGCUCAUUACUGACGCUGAGGCGCGAAAGCGUGGGGAGCAAACAGGUUAGAUACCCUGGUAGUCCACGCUGUAAACGAUGUGUGC
rnacentral:rRNA from 1 species